CGUGUAGGCGGCCUUGCAAGUUGGGUGUGAAAGCCCUCGGCUUAACCGAGGAAGUGCGCCCAAAACUACAAGGCUUGAGUGCCGGAGAGGGUGGCGGAAUUCCCGGUGUAGAGGUGAAAUUCGUAGAUAUCGGGAGGAACACCAGUGGCGAAGGCGGCCACCUGGACGGUAACUGACGCUGAGACGCGAAAGCGUGGGGAGCAAACA
rnacentral:rRNA from 1 species